rnacentral:rRNA from 1 species
GAUGAACGCUGGCGGCGUGCCUAAUACAUGCCAGUCGAGCGAACGGACGAGAAGCUUGCUUCUCUGAUGUUAGCGGCGGACGGGUGAGUAACACGUGGAUAACCUACCUAUAAGACUGGGAUAACUUCGGGAAACCGGAGCUAAUACCGGAUAAUAUUUUGAACCGCAUGGUUCAAAAGUGAAAGACGGUCUUGCUGUCACUUAUAGAUGGAUCCGCGCUGCAUUAGCUAGUUGGUAAGGUAACGGCUUACCAAGGCAACGAUGCAUAGCCGACCUGAGAGGGUGAUCGGCCACACUGGAACUGAGACACGGUCCAGACUCCUACGGGAGGCAGCAGUAGGGAAUCUUCCGCAAUGGGCGAAAGCCUGACGGAACAACGCCGCGUGAGUGAUGAAGGUCUUCGGAUCGUAAAACUCUGUUAUUAGGGAAGAACAUAUGUGUAAGUAACUGUGCACAUCUUGACGGUACCUAAUCAGAAAGCCACGGCUAACUACGUG